rnacentral:rRNA from 1 species
GACGAACGCUGGCGGCGUGCUUAACACAUGCAAGUCGAACGAAGUGGCGAACGGGUGAGUAACGCGUAAUCAACCUGCCCUUCAGAGGGGGACAACAGUUGGCAACGACUGCUAAUACCGCAUACUGACGGUGGGGAUUGCGUCUGGUUCGCUCGUUGGAGGGGUAACGGCCCACCAAGGCGAUGAUCAGUAACCGGGCUGAGAGGAAGAACGGCCAACAGGGGACUGGGACACGGCCCAGACUCCUACGGGAGGCAGCAGUGGGGAAGCUUCCGCAAUGGACGAAAGUCUGACGGAGCAACGCCGCGUGAGUGAUGACGGCCUUCGGGUUGUAAAGCUCUGUUAAUCGGGACGCGGUACCGGAAUAGAAAGCCACGGCUAACUACGUGCCAGCAGCCGCGGUAAUAC